CCUACGGGGGGCUGCAGUGGGGAAUAUUGGACAAUGGGCGAAAGCCUGAUCCAGCCAUGCCGCGUGUGUGAAGAAGGCCUUCGGGUUGUAAAGCACUUUCAGUGGGGAAGAAAGCCUUGGGGCUAAUACCCUCGAGGAAGGACAUCACCCACAGAAGAAGCACCGGCUAACUCCGUGCCAGCAGCCGCGGUAAUAGGAGGGUGCGAGCGUUAAUCGGAUUUACUGGGCGUAAAGCGCGCGUAGGCGGUCUGAUAAGCCGGUUGUGAAAGCCCCGGGCUCAACCUGGGAACGGCAUCCGGAACUGUCAGGCUAGAGGGCAGGAGAGGAAGGUAGAAUUCCCGGUGUAGCGGUGAAAUGCGUAGAGAUCGGGAGGAAUACCAGUGGCGAAGGCGGCCUUCUGGACUGACACUGACGCUGAGGUGCGAAAGCGUGGGUAGCAAACAGGAUUAGAUACCCUGGUAGUC
rnacentral:rRNA from 1 species